AUCUAUAUAGCCCAUCUGACCUUCCCAAUUAGAACCCUAAAGCCAACCUAUACAGCACAUCUGUAACUCCCUAACAGAUCCCACAGGUAAAUCUCUACAGCACAGCUGAGGGUCCCUAACAGAUCCCACAGGUAAAUCUCUACAGCACAGCUGAGGCUCCCUAACAGAUCCCACAGGUAAAUCUCUACAGCACAGCUGUAACUCCCUAACAGAUCCCACAGGUAAAUCUCUACAGCACAGCUGAGGCUCCCUAACAGAUCCCACAGGUAAAUCUCUACAGCACAGCUGGUCUGGUGUGGCCCUUUCUUCACUUGGACCUCCUGC